rnacentral:miRNA from 1 species
UGGGGUGUGUGCUGGAGCCUGCU